rnacentral:misc_RNA from 1 species
AUAGCUGCCAUUGAGUGGGAAG